rnacentral:rRNA from 1 species
UACGAAGGGGGCUAGCGUUGCUCGGAAUCACUGGGCGUAAGGGUGCGUAGGCGGGUCUUUAAGUCAGGGGUGAAAUCCUGGAGCUCAACUCCAGAACUGCCUUUGAUACUGAAGAUCUUGAGUUCGGGAGAGGUGAGUGGAACUGCGAGUGUAGAGGUGAAAUUCGUGAGAUAUUCGCAAGAACACCAGUGGCGAAGGCGGCUCACUGGCCCGAUACUGACGCUGAGGCACGAAAGCGUGGGGAGCAAACAGG